GUUAGAUCGUGGCUCAGGAUGAACGCUAGCGGCGCGCUUAAUGCAUGCAAGUCGAGCGAUGAGGCCCUUUCGGGGGCACAUCAGCGGCAGACGGGUGAGUAACACGUGGAUGACCUGCCCCGAAGACGAGGAUAACGGAUGGAAACAUCCGCUAAUACUCGAUGGUCUUGUACUGUCGCAGGUACAAGUAAAGCUCCGUGCUUCGGGAGGGGUCUGCGGCCUAUCAGCUAGUUGGUGAGGUAACGGCCCACCAAGGCUACGACGGGUAGGGGGUGUGAGAGCACGGCCCCCCACAAUGGGACUGAGACACGGCCCAUACUCCUACGGGAGGCAGCAGCAGGGAAUAUUGCACAAUGGACGGAAGUCUGAUGCAGCGACGCCGCGUGGAUGAUGAAGGCCUUCGGGUUGUAAAAUCCUUUUCAGGGGGACGAGGAAGGACGGUACCCUUGGAAUAAGCGUCGGCUAACUACGUGCCAGCAGCCGCGGUAAGACGUAGGACGCGAGCGUUAUCCGGAUUUACUGGGCGUAAAGCGUCUGUAGGCGGAAUGGUAAGUUGGGCGUGAAAGCUCCGGGCUUAACCCGGAGAGGACGUUCAAUACUGCCAAACUAGAGGGCAUCAGAGGAGCGUGGAAUUUCCGGUGUAGCGGUAAAAUGCGCAGAUAUCGGAAGGAACACCAAUGGCGAAGGCAGCGCUCUGGGAUGCACCUGACGCUAAGAGACGAAAGCUAGGGGAGCGAACAGGAUUAGAGACCCUGGUAGUCCUAGCCCUAAACGAUGGAUGCUAGGUGUAGGGCCGCAAGGUUCUGUGCCGGAGCAAACGCGAUAAGCAUCCCGCCUGGGGAAUACGGCCGCAAGGCUAAAACUCAAACGAAUUGACGGGGCCCCGCACAAGCAGCGGAGCGUGUGGUUUAAUUCGAUCUACACGAAGAACCUUACCUGGGUUUGACAUACAAGUGGUAAUGAGGCGAAAGCCAAGUGACCCUUCGGGGAGCUUGUACAGGUGCUGCAUGGCUGUCGUCAGCUCGUGCCGUGAGGUGUCGGGUUAAGUCCCGUAACGAGCGCAACCCUUACCCUUAGUUACAAGUGUCUAAGGGGACUGCCGGCGAUAAGCCGGAGGAAGGUGGGGAUGACGUCAAGUCAGCAUGGCCCAUAUGUCCAGGGCUACACACACGCUACAAUGGUUGGUACAAAGGGCAGCGAAACCGCGAGGCGGAGCGAAUCCCAACAAAGCCAAUCUUAGUUCGAAUUGCAGGCUGCAACUCGCCUGCAUGAAGCUGGAGUUGCUAGUAACCGCGCGUCAGCUAUAGUGCGGUGAAUACGUUCCCGGGGCUUGUACACACCGCCCGUCACGUCAUGGAAGUUGGUAACGCCUGAAGCUGGUAGCCUAGCACGCAAGUGGGGGCGCCAUCGAGGGCGGGGCUAGCAACUGGGACGAAGUCGUAACAAGGUA
rnacentral:rRNA from 1 species